ACAGAGGGGGCAAGCGUUAUUCGGUAUUAUUGGGCGUAAAGGGCGCGUAGGCGGUCGGACAAGUGGAAGGUGAAAUCUCCAGGCUCAACCUGGGAACUGCCCUCCAAACUGUUUGACUUGAGUCCGGGAGAGGUGAGUGGAAUUCCCAGUGUAGCGGUGAAAUGCGUAGAUAUUGGGAGGAACACCAGUGGCGAAGGCGAGUCCCUGGAAAACUCCUGACACUGAGGCACGAAAGCUAGGGGAGCAAACAGGA
rnacentral:rRNA from 1 species